rnacentral:pre_miRNA from 1 species
UCUCAUGGAUGAGCAAAGAAAGUGGUUUCUUGAGAUGGAAUGGACCCCUGGUGAAGAUGUUGUGAA